CUGCCCCUCGGUACCGAGGGAGGCGCCCGCGACUCUAAAUAACGGGUACCGCGCCAGCUAGUCCCUGCCGGCGCCCAGCGCACCGGCCCGGGCAACAUCGUCAAACUGCGGGAAAGCCCUGCCACGACUACCGGGACCCCACCGCCCCAGCAAUGAGAGCGGGUGCCUGCGGCUAACAGCUGCGGGUACGGUAAAGCACCGAAGUCUAGGGGCAAUCCGCCGCCAAACCCUCCCCGCUCCGGGAGGGCCCAGCUCACAGGCCAGACGGCGAUGGGCGCAGCCGCGCUUAAGAUAUGGUCGAGUGACCCGUCGAGAGGCGGGUGCAACUCAGGAAACGUCCGUAGGUGAACCUGCGGAAGGAUCAUU
rnacentral:rRNA from 1 species